rnacentral:rRNA from 1 species
ACAGAUCGUUCAGAGUUUGAUCCUGGCUCAGGAUGAACGCUAGCGGCAGGCUUAACACAUGCAAGUCGAGGGGCAGCGUGAGGGUUAGCAAUAACCCUUGACGGCGACCGGCGCAAGGGUGCGUAACGCGUGAGCAACUUGCCCUUAUCAGGGGGAUAACCGGUGGAAACGCCGACUAAUACCCCAUGGCAUUGAGUUGAGGCAUCUCUACUCAAUUAAAGAAUUUCGGAUAAGGAUAGGCUCGCGUGACAUUAGCUAGACGGCGGGGUAACGGCCCACCGUGGCGACGAUGUCUAGGGGUUCUGAGAGGAAGGUCCCCCACACUGGAACUGAGACACGGUCCAG